GAAGGACAAUUGAACCCUUGACAUUAUUUAGAUCAUAAGAGGGGUUGCAUAUAGGGAGAAAUCUUCAUAAUAUUUUACUGCAUAUGGAUAAGCCAUCCUCCGGUUUGAUUUCCUCCUUCAUUUGUACCAGCAGAGGGAUAAGUUUGAAAUCUCAUGGAGACUUUAAGCCUGUUCAACUGGUCAGCAACAGUUCACCGACUGGUACUAGAAUCAGAUGAAAUCUCGAAUGCUGUUAAGAACAACUGUGAUGCCAGACAAGAAAGGACAUGUCUGCUGUAAAUCCUUGUGUGGAAUACAAACAAGGAAGUGGUUCCAGACAAGAAAUCCUUAC